UAAACCCUAUCCUCCUUGUUUCGUCACCUUGCCACUAUGGCGCCACCACCUCUGAGAGAGAUAUUGUUGUACUCCUCACUCACUUCGUCAGCUUUAAGCCUAAACCCUAGCUGCUUCGAUUAUUUUCUUCUCUCGCUCCACAAUUUCUUUGCUACUGGCAAUAUGUAGGUUUCCCAUUCUCUCCCGGCCUUUCUCUCUUUUUAUGCGCUUUGGAAUGCUUCACCUUCAGUGAUCUUUGAUUUAUCCAACAAGAAACUCGUUAAUGACCCCACACAGAUUUCUCUCCUGUUUUCAAGGUGGUGACUUUUGAGUCAAAGUUGGAGGUUUGGGCUGGUAUUAUGCCUCCUAGCUAGUCGUCCACACCAUCACGUAAAAGGAGGAGCAGGCUCACAGGAACGAUUCCUCUUGUCAAGAACUAUAGAUCCAAGGUUGAGUCCGAGUCGUCUAAGGUGUAUUGCAAGAAUGACUUUGCCUAUUGAGUCUGUCAAAGAAUCUGUUUCCAAGUUUGGAGGAAGCAUAGAUUGGAAAGCCCAUCAUGCUCAGCAUAUCCAGAUUUCAAUAUUAAACCACUUGCUGUUUCUUCAAAGGCAAGCACUCAAGUCGUUGUUAAAGGUGUCAACCUUUUCCAUUCUAGCGCAAGGUAGAUCUCUGCCUCAUCGUCUGCAUUAUCUGAGUUGGCUCUUCUGCUCCUAACCAUACACAUGACCAGAUAGGUUACUCUGUGGACUUGAAAGGAAGUAUCUGGCACAGCAUAGUUGUUGUGACUUGAUCGAUGGUGUUGAUACAACAAGUGAACAUGAUGAGCAUCUAUGCCUCAGCUUCUCUUCUACCAUACCAAGUGUUACUAAGGGGAAUUUAUUGAGGGCUUAAACUUCCAGCAAUGAAAAAAAAUUCAUCAAAGACAGAAGAAUCAAACUCAGAAACAGGCUGUUAGACUGGGAGUACUUUUACCCACAACAUUUUUUUCCAGCCUUGAUCCAGAAUAAAAUAAGGAGUUCAUUGAGAAAUAUCAUGUCAAACAACCUAGGAAGAAGUCUGUGAUAAGAAGGUGCCAAACAUUGAUCAAAGUUGAGGUCAAAUGAAGAAUUAAUUAUUGGAAUAUGGGAUUAUUACUUCAAACACCUAUAGGGGUGAAGAACUUGAAGAGUUAUAUUCUUAUAGAUUUGUUUUAAAACUAAUUAAGUAUUGCAUUUGGUGGAGUUGGAGAGUAAAUUCAAAUUAUAUAUUAAUGAUUGUAAUUUUUUUCAUGAUUAAUAAUAGUUUGUUGCUAUA